rnacentral:rRNA from 1 species
AGUGAACGCUGGCGGUAGGCCUAACACAUGCAAGUCGAACGGCAGCACAGUAAGAGCUUGCUCUUACGGGUGGCGAGUGGCGGACGGGUGAGGAAUACAUCGGCAUCUACUUUUUCGUGGGGGAUAACGUAGGGAAACUUACGCUAAUACCGCAUACGACCUACGGGUGAAAGCAGGGGAGCUUCGGACCUUGCGCGAUUGAAUUAGCCGACGUCGGAUUAGCUAGUUGGCGGGGUAAAGGCCCACCAAGGCGACGAUGCGUAGCUGGUCUGAGAGGAUGAUCAGCCACACUGGAACUGAGACACGGCCCAGACUCCUACGGGAGGCAGCAGUGGGGAAUAUUGGACAAUGGGCGCAAGCCUGAUCCAGCCAUACCGCGUGGGUGAAGAAGGCCUUCGGGUUGUAAAGCCCUUUUGUUGGGAAAGAAAAGCAGCAGGUGAAUACCCCGCUGUUCUGACGGUACCCAAAGAAUAAGCACCGGCUAACUUCGUG